AAUCUUCCACAAUGGGCGAAAGCCUGAUGGAGCAACGCCGCGUGGUGAAGAAGGUCUUCGGAUCGUAAAACCUGUUGUUAGAGAAGAAAGUGCGUGAGAGUAACUGUUCACGUUUCGACGGUAUCUAACCAGAAAGCCACGGCUAACUACGUGCCAGCAGCCGCGGUAAUACGUAGGUGGCAAGCGUUAUCCGGAUUUAUUGGGCGUAAAGGGAACGCAGGCGGUCUUUAAGUCUGAUGUGAAAGCCUUCGGCUUAACCGGAGUAGUGCAUUGGAAACUGGGAGACUUGAGUGCAGAAGAGGAGAGUGGAACUCCAUGUGUAGCGGUGAAAUGCGUAGAUAUAUGGAAGAACACCAGUGGCGAAAGCGGCUCUCUGGUCUGUAACUGACGCUGAGGUUCGAAAGCGUGGGUAGCAAACAGGAUUAGAUACCCUGGUAG
rnacentral:rRNA from 1 species